AGGAUGAACGCUGGCGGCGUGCCUAAAACAUGCAAGUCAUACGGGCUACCUUCGGGUAGCCAGUGGCAAACGGGUGAGUAACACGUGGGAACGCGCCUUGGGGUGGGGAAUAACGCUGAGAAAUCAGUGCUAAUACCGCAUAUGGUCUAACGACUAAAGCAGCAAUGCGCCCCGAGAGCGGCCCGCGACCGAUUAGCUAGUUGGUGGGGUAAUGGCCUACCAAGGCGGUGAUCGGUAGCUGGUCUGAGAGGACGACCAGCCACACUGGGACUGAGACACGGCCCAGACUCCUACGGGAGGCAGCAGUGGGGAAUUUUGGACAAUGGGCGCAAGCCUGAUCCAGCCAUGCCGCGUGCGGGAAGAAGGCCUUCGGGUUGUAAACCGCUUUUGUCAGGGAAGAAAAGCACCGAUCUAAUACAACGGUGUCAUGACGGUACCUGAAGAAUAAGCACCGGCUAACUACGUGCCAGCAGCCGC
rnacentral:rRNA from 1 species